rnacentral:rRNA from 1 species
UGGGGAAUUUUGGACAAUGGGGGAAACCCUGAUCCAGCCAUCCCGCGUGUGCGAUGAAGGCCUUCGGGUUGUAAAGCACUUUUGGCAGGAAAGAAACGUCGCGGGUUAAUACCCCGCGGAACUGACGGUACCUGCAGAAUAAGCACCGGCUAACUACGUGCCAGCAGCCGCGGUAAUACGUAGGGUGCAAGCGUUAAUCGGAAUUACUGGGCGUAAAGCGUGCGCAGGCGGUUCGGAAAGAAAGAUGUGAAAUCCCAGAGCUUAACUUUGGAACUGCAUUUUUAACUACCGGGCUAGAGUGUGUCAGAGGGAGGUGGAAGUUCCGCGUGUAGCAGUGAAAUGCGUAGAUAUGCGGAGGAACACCGAUGGCGAAGGCAGCCUCCUGGGAUAACACUGACGCUCAUGCACGAAAGCGUGGGGAGCAAACAGGAUUAGAUACCCUGGUAGUCCACGCCCUAAACGAUGUCAACUAGCUGUUGGGGUCUUCGGACCUUGGUAGCGCAGCUAACGCGUGAAGUUGACCGCCUGGGGAGUAC